rfam:Stegodyphus mimosarum contig104285, whole genome shotgun sequence.
UCCUUCGUGGUGUAGUGGUCAGCACGUUUGACCCGUCUUCGAGAGGUCCGUGGUUCGAGUCCCGGCAAGGGCA